rnacentral:rRNA from 1 species
GCGGAGCUGUAGCACUCUGAUCAGCCAUGCCGCGUGCAGUGAAGACAGGCCCUAUGGGUUGUAAACUGCUUUUGUACGGGAGAAAACCCUUUCACGUGUGAGAGGUUGAUAGUACCGUAAGAAUAAGCAUCGGCUAACUUCGUGCCAGCAGCCGCGGUAAGACGAAGGAUGCAAGCGUUAUCCGGAUUCAUUGGGUUUAAAGGGAGCGUAGGUGGACUUGUAAGUCAGUGGUGAAAUCUCUCACCUUAACUGAAAAACUGCCAUUGAUACUGCAGGUCUUGAGUACAGAUGAUGUGGGCGGAAUAUGACAUGUAGUGGUGAAAUACUUAGAUAUGUCAUAGAACACCGAUUGCGAAGGCAGCUCACAAAACUGUAACUGACACUGAGGCUCGAAAGUGCGGGGAUCAAACAGGAUUAGAUACCCUGGUAGUCCGCACCGUAAACGAUGAUUACUCGUUGUUAGCGAUAUGACAGUUAGCGACCAAGCGAAAGCGAUAAGUAAUCCACCUGGGGAGUACGCCGGCAACGGUGAAACUCAAGAAAUUUGAACGGGAUUGUUG